ACGAACGCUGGCGGCGUGGAUAAGACAUGCAAGUCGAACGGGAUUACUUUUGUAGCAAUACAAAGUAAUUCAGUGGCGAACGGGUGCGUAACACGUGGGCAAUCUGCCGAAAAGUGGGGGAUAGCUCGCCGAAAGGCGAAUUAAUACCGCAUGUGGUGAGGGACGACAUCUUCCUGAAUCCAAAGCCGGGGCAACCUGGCGCUUUUUUGAGGAGCCCGCGGCCUAUCAGCUUGUUGGCGGGGUAACGGCCCACCAAGGCUUUGACGGGUAGCUGGUCUGAGAGGACGACCAGUCACACUGGAACUGAGACACGGGUCCAGACACCUACGGGUGGCAGCAGUCGAGAAUUUUUCUCAAUGGGGGAAACCCUGAAGGAGCGACGCCGCGUGGAGGAUGAAGGCUUUCGGGUUGUAAACUCCUGUCAUUUGGGAACAAGGUGCAUCGG
rnacentral:rRNA from 1 species